AUGAUCCCCUGGCUUAAUUUGGCGUCCUUGUUGGUCCUCAUUCAAGGAGUCGAGUCUCAAGUCCAGUUUAUAGAGUCUGGAGGGGAUGUGAGAAGACCUGGAGAGUCCCUCCGUCUCUCCUGCCAAGCCUCUGGAUUCACCUUCAGCAGCUACUGGAUGCACUGGAUGAGACAGGCUCCAGGGAAAGGAUUGGAAUGGGUGGCUGGAAUAAAUUCAGCUUCAUCUCCUUCCGCAUACUACCCAGACAAAGUGAAGGGACGCUUCACCAUCUCCAGGGACAAUGCCAAAAGCCAGCUGUAUCUGCAAAUGAGCAAUCUGAAACCAGAGGAUACAGCAGUUUAUUACUGUGCAAGAGACACAGUGAGAGGAAGUGAAGGGAACCUCUGCAUUUGCAGUUACAAGGAAUCAAUAAUGGUUCAUAGAGCUCACAAUACGGAGUUGGGAGUUGGGUGUGACAGUCAACAGGGAAUGGACUGGAAUGGAUUGUAUGAUGCCAGUAAAUAA